rnacentral:lncRNA from 1 species
GUGUAAAAAAAAAUGACUUUCAUUUACUUAUUUACAUGAAUUAAGAGAAAUAAAAAAAACUUAAAAACUAAACAGGAAAUAACAAUUAGCAUACAAAAAAAAACUGACUUCAUGUUAUUAACAGAAACAAGCAUGCAUAAAUAAGGAAAACCAACAUUAAUACAUAUACUUAACAUACUAAAGUGUGCAAAUAACUGUCUUUUGAUUAAUAUUGAUGGCUUUUUUCACAUAUCUUCUAAUCUAAUAUACUAAAUAUCAAUGUGUUUCGAUAUUCAGUUAAAAACAGCAUGCUGCAAAAACAAAUCUGUCCAAAAAAAUACAUAGUUUGAAUAUCAAACCAACAUUCUGAGAUAAAUGAAAAAUCAAUCUUUAUACAGUAAAAAGAUAAAGUUUAAGGAAAUAACAAUUGUAAAGCAUCAUGCAAUAAACUAAAAAGUACUUUGUUUAACAAAAUUGGAAUCUUUCCAACACAAAAUAGCCUUCACAUUGCACAUAUAAUAGUUUAAAAACUAGAGGCUCUGAAGAGCCUGUAUCACUCACCUGACUCUACUUGGGUUUUGGAAAUCAUAUAAAAAAAGAUAAAAUUUGGCUACAAAUUAACAACACUUGGCCAGCACCUGACUCGGAAAGGAGCAUUCAUGCUAUGUUUGGUUUCAUUCCAUUCAGUGGUUCUCUAGAAGAAGACUUUUGUAUGCAUUUUCUGUAGGGUCCCAUGUUCCAUGGUCCCGGAGCACCUGAGAUCACCCCUAGUUUUUUGGUGGGGUUCGUGUUGUUUAUUCUUUAGUUUUCUAUGUUGUGUCGUGUUUGCUGUUGUUUGUUUGUCUUUUUUCAUUUUUAGCCAUGGCAUUGUCAGUUUGUUUUAGAUUUAUGAGUUUGACUGUCCCUUUGGUAUCUUUCGUCCCUCUUUUAAACUAUGUCCCUCACUGGCAGCCAUCUUGGAUGAUGGAUCGGCUACAAAGUAGCAACACUUGGUCAGCAUCUCAUCAGGAACAUUCAUGCUAUGUUUGUUUCUUUCCAUUCAGUGGUUCUCUUAAAGAAGAAAUUUGUAUGUAUUUCCCAUAGGGUCCUAUGUUAAACUAAGUGCCCCCACUGUCGGCCAUCUUGGAUGAUGGAAUGGCUACAAAGUAACAACACUUGGUCAGCAUCUCAUUAGGAACAUUCAUGCCAUGUUUGGUUUAAUUCCAUUUAGUGGUUCUCUAAAAGAAGACAUUUGUAUGUACUUCCGAUAGGGUCCUAUGUUAAACCAAGUCCCCACUGGCGGCCAUCUUGGAUGAUGGAUUGGCUACAAAGUAACAACACUUGGGCAGCACCUCAUAAGGAGCAUUCAGGCUAUGUUUGGUUUCAUUUCAUUCAGUGGUUCUCUAAAAGAAGUCAUUUGUAUGCAUUUCCCGUAGGGUCCUAUGUUAAACCAAGUCACCCAACUGGCAGCAAUCUUGGAUGUUGGAUGGGCUACAAAGUAACAACACUUAGUCAGCAUCUCAUAAGGAACAUUCAUGUUAUGUUUGGUACCAUUCCAUUUAGUGGUUCUCUAAAAGAAAACAUUUAUAUGUAUUUCCCAUCUGGUCCUUUGUUAAACUAAAACCCCUGCUGGCGGCCAUCUUGGAUGACAGAUCUGCUACAAAGUAACAAAACUUGGUCAGCACCUCAUAAGGAACAUUCAUAAUAUGUUUGGUUUCAUUCCAUUCAGUGGUUCUCUAAAAGAAGUCAUUUGUAUGCAUUUCCCAUAGGGUCCUAUGUUAAACUAAGUCCACCACUGGUGGCCAUCUUGGAUGAUGGAUCGGCUACAAAGUAAGAACACUUGGUCAGCAUCUCAUAAGGAACAUUCAUGCCAUGUUUGGUUACAUUCCAUUCAGUGGUUCUCUAGAAGAAGUUCAAAAUGUAAAAUAUUUACGCCGACGACGCACGACGGACACCAAAUGAUGAGAAAAGCCCACUUGGCCCUUCGGGCAAGGUAAGCUAAA